AUAUCCGCCGGCAGUUAGAAGAAGAACAAAGGCAGCUGGAGAUUCUUCAACAGCAGCUUCUCCAGGAACAAGCUCUUCUCCUGGAAUACAAACGGAAGCAGUUGGAGGAGCAGAGACAGGCUGAGCGGUUACAGCGGCAGCUGCAGCAGGAAAGGGCCUACCUGGUCUCACUGCAGCAACAGCAA